rnacentral:rRNA from 1 species
GGGGACUACGAGCAUGAGCUUAAAACCCAAAGGACUUGGCGGUGCUUUAGACCCCCCUAGAGGAGCCUGUUCUAGAACCGAUAACCCCCGUUCAACCUCACCUUUUCUUGUUCAUCCCGUCUAUAUACCGCCGUCGUCAGCAUACCCUGUGAAGGAAACAUAGUAAGCAAAACUGGUAAAACCCAAAACGCCAGGUCGAGGUGUAGCAUACGAAAAGGAAAGAAAUGGGCUACAUUUCCUCUUACAGGAAAUACGAAUUGUGUCAUGAAACAACACAUGAAGGAGGAUUUAGCAGUAAGCAGAAAAU